rnacentral:rRNA from 2 species
AAAUUGAAGAGUUUGAUCAUGGCUCAGAUUGAACGCUGGCGGCAGGCCUAACACAUGCAAGUCGAGCGGUAGCACAGAGAGCUUGCUCUCGGGUGACGAGCGGCGGACGGGUGAGUAAUGUCUGGGAAACUGCCUGAUGGAGGGGGAUAACUACUGGAAACGGUAGCUAAUACCGCAUAACGUCGCAAGACCAAAGUGGGGGACCUUCGGGCCUCAUGCCAUCAGAUGUGCCCAGAUGGGAUUAGCUAGUAGGUGGGGUAACGGCUCACCUAGGCGACGAUCCCUAGCUGGUCUGAGAGGAUGACCAGCCACACUGGAACUGAGACACGGUCCAGACUCCUACGGGAGGCAGCAGUGGGGAAUAUUGCACAAUGGGCGCAAGCCUGAUGCAGCCAUGCCGCGUGUGUGAAGAAGGCCUUCGGGUUGUAAAGCACUUUCAGCGGGGAGGAAGGCGAUAAGGUUAAUAACCUUGUCGAUUGACGUUACCCGCAGAAGAAGCACCGGCUAACUCCGUGCCAGCAGCCGCGGUAAUACGGAGGGUGCAAGCGUUAAUCGGAAUUACUGGGCGUAAAGCGCACGCAGGCGGUCUGUCAAGUCGGAUGUGAAAUCCCCGGGCUUAACCUGGGAACUGCAUUCGAAACUGGCAGGCUAGAGUCUUGUAGAGGGGGGUAGAAUUCCAGGUGUAGCGGUGAAAUGCGUAGAGAUCUGGAGGAAUACCGGUGGCGAAGGCGGCCCCCUGGACAAAGACUGACGCUCAGGUGCGAAAGCGUGGGGAGCAAACAGGAUUAGAUACCCUGGUAGUCCACGCCGUAAACGAUGUCGAUUUGGAGGUUGUGCCCUUGAGGCGUGGCUUCCGGAGCUAACGCGUUAAAUCGACCGCCUGGGGAGUACGGCCGCAAGGUUAAAACUCAAAUGAAUUGACGGGGGCCCGCACAAGCGGUGGAGCAUGUGGUUUAAUUCGAUGCAACGCGAAGAACCUUACCUGGUCUUGACAUCCACAGAACUUUCCAGAGAUGGAUUGGUGCCUUCGGGAACUGUGAGACAGGUGCUGCAUGGCUGUCGUCAGCUCGUGUUGUGAAAUGUUGGGUUAAGUCCCGCAACGAGCGCAACCCUUAUCCUUUGUUGCCAGCGGU